rnacentral:rRNA from 1 species
CCUACGGGUGGCAGCAGUGAGGAAUAUUGGUCAAUGGACGAGAGUCUGAACCAGCCAAGUCGCGUGAAGGAUGACUGCCCUAUGGGUUGUAAACUUCUUUUGUAGGGGAGUAAAGCCGGGCACGUGUGCCUGUUUGCAUGUAACUUAUAGAUAAGGAUCGGCUAACUCCGUUCCAGCAACCGCGGUAAUACGGAGGAUGCGAGCGUUAUCCGGAUUUAUUGGGUUUAAAGGGAGCGUAGGUGGGGUUUUAAGUCAGUUGUGAAAGUUUGCGGCUCAACCGUGAAAUUGCCGUUGAUACUGGUAGUCUUGAGUAUAGUUGAGGUAGGCGGAAUGCGUGGUGUAGCGGUGAAAUGCUUAGAUAUCACGCAGAACUCCGAUUGCGAAGGCAGCUUACCAA